rnacentral:rRNA from 1 species
AUUGAACGCUGGCGGCAGGCCUAACACAUGCAAGUCGAGCGGAUGAAGGGAGCUUGCUCCUGGAUUCAGCGGCGGACGGGUGAGUAAUGCCUAGGAAUCUGCCUGGUAGUGGGGGAUAACGUCCGGAAACGGGCGCUAAUACCGCAUACGUCCUGAGGGAGAAAGUGGGGGAUCUUCGGACCUCACGCCAUCAGAUGAGCCUAGGUCGGAUUAGCUAGUUGGUGGGGUAAAGGCCUACCAAGGCGACGAUCCGUAACUGGCCUGAGAGGAUGAUCAGUCACACUGGAACUGAGACACGGUCCAGACUCCUACGGGAGGCAGCAGUGGGGAAUAUUGGACAAUGGGCGAAAGCCUGAUCCAGCCAUGCCGCGUGUGUGAAGAAGGUCUUCGGAUUGUAAAGCACUUUAAGUUGGGAGGAAGGGCAGUAAGUUAAUACCUUGCUGUUUUGACGUUACCAACAGAAUAAGCACCGGCUAACUUCGUG